UACGGAGGGGGCUAGCGUUGUUCGGAAUUACUGGGCGUAAAGCGCGCGUAGGCGGACCUGCAAGUCGGGGGUGAAAUCCUGGAGCUCAACUCCAGAACUGCCUUUGAUACUGAAGAUCUUGAGUUCGGGAGAGGUGAGUGGAACUGCGAGUGUAGAGGUGAAAUUCGUAGAUAUUCGCAAGAACACCAGUGGCGAAGGCGGCUCACUGGCCCGAUACUGACGCUGAGGCACGAAAGCGUGGGGAGCAAACAGGG
rnacentral:rRNA from 1 species